UACGAAGGGAGCUAGCGUUGUUCGGAAUCACUGGGCGUAAAGCGCACGUAGGCGGAUUUGUCAGUCAGGGGUGAAAUCCCGGGGCUCAACCUCGGAACUGCCUUUGAUACAGCAAGUCUUGAGUUCGAGAGAGGUGGGUGGAAUUCCUAGUGUAGAGGUGAAAAUUCGUAGAUAUUAGGAAGAACACCGAUGGCGAAGGCAGCCCCCUGGGCCAAUACUGACGCUCAUGCACGAAAGCGUGGGGAGCAAACAGG
rnacentral:rRNA from 1 species